GUCUUUUGAAAUAUAAAUCUUUUGGUAUUAAUUAUUUACCCUUAAUUAUAUUCAUCUCUGUCUUUUUUAAUUGGCGUUUUCUGUUUUUCUAAUUUGUUAUCUUUUUCAAUUUUUUUUUUUUUUGUAUGAUUUGGUCCAGUUUGACCAUCCAUAGUUAAUUAUGGUUAAGAAAAACCGAAAUUUAUACGAGUUUCGAAGAUUAGUAAAAAAUCAAACAAACUAUCAAAACUUAGAAAAUAUAAUAGCACCCGAAACUUCUAGGUAAUAUAAAUAGAGAAGAAAGACAACAUUCAAAGGAAAA
rnacentral:lncRNA from 1 species